rnacentral:rRNA from 1 species
AUUGAACGCUGGCGGCAGGCUUAACACAUGCAAGUCGAGCGAGUGGCGGACGGGUGAGUAAUGCUUGGGAAACUGCCUUAUGGAGGGGGAUAACUACGGGAAACUGUAGCUAAUACCGCAUACCAUAGGAUGAGCCCAAGUGGGAUUAGGUAGUUGGUGAGGUAACGGCUCACCAAGGCGACGAUCCCUAGCUGGUCUGAGAGGAUGACCAGCAACACUGGGACUGAGACACGGUCCAGACUCCUACGGGAGGCAGCAGUGGGGAAUAUUGCACAACGGGGGCAAGCUGAUGCAGCCAUGCCGCGUGAAUGAAGAAGGCCUUCGGGUUGUAAAGUUCUUUCGGUAACGAGGCGUUACUUACAGAAGAAGCACCGGCUAACUCCGUGCCAGCAGCCGCGGUAAUAC